AUGAUUCAACUUCAAAAGCAGCACCAAUUUGCAGCUGUAGCAGGCGCUUCUGCUCGAAGCAAAACACCAGCAACAAGUAAUGGAAGUGUGUACACUGACCAUAUUUCUUCUUCUUCAUCAAUGGCUACCAAGUUUCCUAAUGCACUAUCUGGAUUUCCUUCAAUUCUUGUCCAAAGCAGCGGUAGUCCUGUUCAUUCUCCGCAGUGGAAGAAUAAUGUUAGGACCACUUCCCAAGUUCCCUCCCCAUCUCUUUCCUCUACUUCAUCGUCCCUCAAAAACCUUCCCCAA
rnacentral:misc_RNA from 1 species